rnacentral:rRNA from 1 species
AUACUGAGGGUGCAAGCGUUAAUCGGAAUUACUGGGCGUAAAGCGAGUGUAGGCGGCUUCGUAAGUCGGAUGUGAAAGCCCUGGGCUCAACCUGGGAAUUGCAUUCGAUACUGCUUGACUAGAGUAUGGUAGAGGGAAGUGGAAUUUCCGGUGUAGCGGUGAAAUGCGUAGAUAUCGGAAGGAACACCAGUGGCGAAGGCGACUUUCUGGGCUGCACCUGACGCUGAGGCGCGAGAGCGUGGGGAGCAAACAGGAUUAGAAACCCCGGUAGUCC